AUUGAACGCUGGCGGAAGGCCUAACACAUGCAAGUCGAACGAGUAGCGGACGGGUGAGUAAUGUCUGGGAAACUGCCUGAUGGAGGGGGAUAACUACUGGAAACGGUAGCUAAUACCGCAUACCAUGGGAUGUGCCAAGAUGGGAUUAGCUAGUAGGAGGGGUAAAGGCUCACCUAGGCGAAGAUCCCUAGCUGGUCUGAGAGGAUGACCGUCCAAACUUGAACUGAGACACGGUCCAGACUCCUACGGGAGGCAGCAGUGGGGAAUAUUGAGCAAUGGUCGCAAGCUUGAUGCAGCCAUGCCGCGUGUAUGAAGAAGGUUUUCGGGUUGUAAAGCACUGUCAGCGGAGAGGCGUUAUCAACAGAAGAAGCAACGGCUAACUCCGUGCCAGCAGCCGCGGUAAUUC
rnacentral:rRNA from 1 species